GAUGAACGCUGGCGGCGUGCCUAAUACAUGCAAAUCGAGCGAACGGACGAGAAGCUUGCUUCUCUGAUGUUAGCGGCGGACGGGUGAGUAACACGUGGAUAACCUACCUAUAAGACUGGGAUAACUUCGGGAAACCGGAGCUAAUACCGGAUAAUAUUUUGAACCACAUGGUUCAAAAGUGAAAGACGGUCUUGCUGUCACUUAUAGAUGGAUCCGCGCUGCAUUAGCUAGUUGGUAAGGUAACGGCUUACCAAGGCAACGAUGCAUAGCCGACCUGAGAGGGUGAUCGGCCACACUGGAACUGAGACACGGUCCAGACUCCUACGGGAGGCAGCAGUAGGGAAUCUUCCGCAAUGGGCGAAAGCCUGACGGAGCAACGCCGCGUGAGUGAUGAAGGUCUUCGGAUCGUAAAACUCUGUUAUUAGGGAAGAACAUAUGUGUAAGUAACUGUGCACACCUUGACGGUACCUAAUCAGAAAGCCACGGCUAACUACGUG
rnacentral:rRNA from 1 species